rnacentral:rRNA from 1 species
AUACGUAGGGGGCAAGCGGUUAUCCGGAUUUAUUGGGUUUAAAGGGUGCGUAGGCGGACUUAUAAGUCAGCGGUGAAAGUUUGCAGCUUAACUGUAAAAUUGCCGUUGAAACUGUUAGUCUUGAGUGUAAAUGAGGUAGGCGGAAUGUGUUGUGUAGCGGUGAAAUGCUUAGAUAUAACACAGAACACCAAUUGCGAAGGCAGCUUACUGGGAUACAACUGACGCUGAGGCACGAAAGCGUGGGGAUC